rnacentral:misc_RNA from 1 species
GUUCGAGGUAUAAACGUUACUUCUGGAUCAGGAAUUAUCCAAGGCUUCAGGUAUUUAUCUCCGAUAGACCUAGACAUUGCAAGAACACCGAAAACACGAUGGCCAUUCCACUGUAUCACCUUCCCUCCAGCUGCUUCAAUCCUUUUAUAUUCAUCUUCUCGGUUUGGUUUGUGAUCAACUGACAAUGCCAUGGGUUCCUUCCCACGACACAGAACAGCCCUUGAAUCACCACAAUUUGCCACUAUUAUAUGAGAUGAACAAACAACGGCAACAACAGCUGUGGAGCCUACAGUUUCUGGAGCAACAGGCUCGUCACCAGCUCCCCCUCCAAUCUCAGCAUCAACUUUAAGAAAACAAUUGGUAAAGGCUCUAUUCCAGAGUUCUUGGCAACUUUGUCUAAUACUUUCAUCACUGAGAUUCAUCAUAAAAGUUUCCAACUCCUCAGCCAAUACAGCAUGAAUCCGG